CUGAAAAAUAUGUGAUUGUAGGAACUGAAUACAAAAACAAAAUUAAUUAAAGUAAGAUUACGUUUUUCAAGCUGAAACCCUCGAGAAGGAGCAAACCUAACCGGUGAAAGGCAUGCAUUGUCCUGUCAGGAUUUAUCAGCCGAGAGAGGGCUAAACCAAAAGGACAACAAGGGUAAAACUAAUAAUAGGACAACAGCCCUCGAACCAACGGCGUACACUUCUCGCAACUACAUUUAUAUUCAUUAGCUGGUAAUACCCAAACAAUGCGGUUGACCAAAGAGUUAGAUCUGGUCUCGGUCCCUCCGAAAACGCAGACGUAGGUGCAAAAGGGCGCCAGUGACCAUUACAGGCGGCAGCUGAUUAAAACAACUAUUUACAACAAUGAUGGAUGGCGAAAUCACUAAACGGGACGAUUAAUCACGAUUUUAACAGAUUGAAUCAACAUUUCGGAUAAUGAAUCUCUAUUGCCUGCACGACGUGUUUUUGCGGUAAUUAGAGACGUUGCAGGAAAGAUGGAUGGAGGAAUAAGUUUCCGAA